rnacentral:rRNA from 1 species
UUAAGUCUUGACGAGUAAGAGGGUCGCGACGGUGAGCGCAGAAGGGUCAGGGCGAGAGCCUGCCUGGAGCCGCCGUUGGUGCAGAUCUUGGUGGUAGUAGCAAAUACUCUAGCGAGGGCCUGGAGGACUGACGUGGAGAAGGGUUUCUUGUGAACAGCCGUUGCACAAGAGUCAGUCGACCCUGAGCCCUAGGAGAAAUCCGAUGACGAUGGGUGGCUUGACAAUAUGCAUGCGUGCACAUAAUUGUCUCGCUUGUAGCUCCUAGUAGCUCGCGACUCUUAUGCUGCUGCAAACAUACAAUCAUAGACCACAGACUGUGCUUGUCGUGUUCUUGCUUGUAGCUCUUGUAGCUCGCAGUAUCGACUGAACAGCUCCUUUUGGGCAAAAGGGAAUCCGGUUCCUAUUCCGGAACCUGGCUGCGUAACCGCAUCUUUGCGGGCACUUGCUUGCGAGCGCUCGUCGGGGUAACCCAAACUGGCCUGGAGACGCCGGCGGGAAGUCUGGAAAGAGUUUUCUUUUCUUUAUAAGCGUUCGAGUACCCUGGAAUCCUAUAGCAGGGAGAUAGGGUUUGGAAUGCGAAGAGCACUGCAGUUGCGGCAGUGUCCGGACUUUCCCCCCGGACCUUGAAAAUCCAGGUGAGGGCCACGCGGAAGUCGCGCCAG